rnacentral:rRNA from 1 species
GACGUAGGGCGCGAGCGUUGUCCGGAUUUAUUGGGCGUAAAGAGCUCGUAGGCGGCUCGUCGCGUCGAAUGUGAAAACUCGGGGCUCAACUCCGAGCUUGCAUUCGAUACGGGCAGGCUAGAGUUCGGUAGGGGAGACUGGAAUUCCUGGUGUAGCGGUGAAAUGCGCAGAUAUCAGGGGGAACACCGAUGGCGAAGGCAGGUCUCUGGGCCGAUACUGACGCUGAGGAGCGAAAGCGUGGGGAGCGAACAGG